AGACCCGAAACCCGGUGAUCUAGCCAUGGGCAGGUUGAAGGUUGGGUAACACUAACUGGAGGACCGAACCGACUAAUGUUGAAAAAUUAGCGGAUGACUUGUGGCUGGGGGUGAAAGGCCAAUCAAACCGGGAGAUAGCUGGUUCUCCCCGAAAGCUAUUUAGGUAGCGCCUCGUGAAUUCAUCUCCGGGGGUAGAGCACUGUUUCGGCAAGGGGGUCAUCCCGACUUACCAACCCGAUGCAAACUGCGAAUACCGGAGAAUGUUAUCACGGGAGACACACGGCGGGUGCUAACGUCCGUCGUGAAGAGGGAAACAACCCAGACCGCCAGCUAAGGUCCCAAAGUCAUGGUUAAGUGGGAAACGAUGUGGGAAGGCCCAGACAGCCAGGAUGUUGGCUUAGAAGCAGCCAUCAUUUAAAGAAAGCGUAAUAGCUCACUGGUCGAGUCGGCCUGCGCGGAAGAUGUAACGGGGCUAAACCAUGCACCGAAGCUGCGGCAGCGACACUGUGUGUUGUUGGGUAGGGGAGCGUUCUGUAAGCCUGUGAAGGUGUGCUGUGAGGCAUGCUGGAGGUAUCAGAAGUGCGAAUGCUGACAUAAGUAACGAUAAAGCGGGUGAAAAGCCCGCUCGCCGGAAGACCAAGGGUUCCUGUCCAACGUUAAUCGGGGCAGGGUGAGUCGACCCCUAAGGCGAGGCCGAAAGGCGUAGUCGAUGGGAAACAGGUUAAUAUUCCUGUACUUGGUGUUACUGCGAAGGGGGGACGGAGAAGGCUAUGUUGGCCGGGCGACGGUUGUCCCGGUUUAAGCGUGUAGGCUGGUUUUCCAGGCAAAUCCGGAAAAUCAAGGCUGAGGCGUGAUGACGAGGCACUACGGUGCUGAAGCAACAAAUGCCCUGCUUCCAGGAAAAGCCUCUAAGCAUCAGGUAACAUCAAAUCGUACCCCAAACCGACACAGGUGGUCAGGUAGAGAAUACCAAGGCGCUUGAGAGAACUCGGGUGAAGGAACUAGGCAAAAUGGUGCCGUAACUUCGGGAGAAGGCACGCUGAUAUGUAGGUGAAGUCCCUCGCGGAUGGAGCUGAAAUCAGUCGAAGAUACCAGCUGGCUGCAACUGUUUAUUAAAAACACAGCACUGUGCAAACACGAAAGUGGACGUAUACGGUGUGACGCCUGCCCGGUGCCGGAAGGUUAAUUGAUGGGGUCAGCGCAAGCGAAGCUCUUGAUCGAAGCCCCGGUAAACGGCGGCCGUAACUAUAACGGUCCUAAGGUAGCGAAAUUCCUUGUCGGGUAAGUUCCGACCUGCACGAAUGGCGUAAUGAUGGCCAGGCUGUCUCCACCCGAGACUCAGUGAAAUUGAACUCGCUGUGAAGAUGCAGUGUACCCGCGGCAAGACGGAAAGACCCCGUGAACCUUUACUAUAGCUUGACACUGAACAUUGAGCCUUGAUGUGUAGGAUAGGUGGGAGGCUUUGAAGUGUGGACGCCAGUCUGCAUGGAGCCGACCUUGAAAUACCACCCUUUAAUGUUUGAUGUUCUAACGUGGACCCGUGAUCCGGGUUGCGGACAGUGUCUGGUGGGUAGUUUGACUGGGGCGGUCUCCUCCUAAAGAGUAACGGAGGAGCACGAAGGUUGGCUAAUCCUGGUCGGACAUCAGGAGGUUAGUGCAAUGGCAUAAGCCAGCUUGACUGCGAGCGUGACGGCG
rnacentral:rRNA from 1 species